UACGUAGGGUGCGAGCGUUAAUCGGAAUUACUGGGCGUAAAGCGUGCGCAGGCGGUGAUGUAAGACAGGUGUGAAAUCCCCGGGCUUAACCUGGGAACUGCAUUUGAAACUGGAAGGCUAGAGUGUGGCAGAGGGGGGUGGGAAUUCCACGUGUAGCAGUGAAAUGCGUAGAUAUGUGGAGGAACACCGAUGGCGAAGGCAGCCCCCUGGGCUAACACUGACGCUCAUGCACGAAAGCGUGGGGAGCAAACAGG
rnacentral:rRNA from 1 species